UACGUAGGGAGCGAGCGUUGUCCGGAAUUACUGGGUGUAAAGGGAGUGUAGGCGGGAUGGUAAGUUAGGUGUGAAAUGCGGAGGCUCAACCUCCGAGCUGCACUUAAAACUGCUGUUCUUGAGUGAAGUAGAGGUUGGCGGAAUUCCCAGUGUAGCGGUGAAAUGCGUAGAUAUUGGGAGGAACAUCAGUGGCGAAGGCGGCCAACUGGGCUUUUACUGACGCUGAGGCUCGAAAGCGUGGGGAGCAAACAGG
rnacentral:rRNA from 1 species